rnacentral:rRNA from 1 species
UACGUAGGGUCCGAGCGUUGUCCGGAAUCACUGGGCGUAAAGGGCGCGUAGGCGGCGCGGCUAGUCGGCGUUGAAAGCCCGGAGCUCAACUCCGGGUCGGCCGUCGAUACUUCCGGGCUUGAGCACUGUAGAGGCAGAUGGAAUUCCGGGUGUAGCGGUGGAAUGCGUAGAGAUCCGGAAGAACACCGGUGGCGAAGGCGGUCUGCUGGGCAGUUGCUGACACUGAUGCGCGACAGCGUGGGGAGCAAACAGG